CCUGUGGAGUGUUAUAUCAAAUGCAAGUAGCGAGUAGUAAUACCACAAAAGCAGACACUAUGAAGCAGGAA
rnacentral:sRNA from 1 species